UCUGCACACAGUAAGCACUCAAUAAAUACAACUGAAUGAACGACUGAAUUGAAUGAAUUACCCACCACUCAAUAGCCAUUCAUCUUAUCUUGAGCGACUCCAUCUCCCUGAGUUGAAAGGCAAAGAAACCUGGAUCCAGAGAAGAUCUUGGGAAUUCACCACCUCUCCCAAGUGGUUUAAUUUGAAGAAGAAGGCAGCGGUAACUUCUAGUGGGUGACCCAGCCUGGAAAUGGAAAACGAGACCUCACUUGUCACCCGUUUUACCGUGUUUUGCAAAUUAUCAGCCUUUAAUAAAUGUCAGUACUGCAACUGUUACUAUCAGAA